rnacentral:rRNA from 1 species
GGUGGUAACAAGUCUAGCUUGCUAGAUGUUGACGACCGGCGCACGGGUGCGCAACGCGUAUACGAUCUGCCCCCUACUGUGGGAUAGCCCAGAGAAAUUUGGAUUAAUACCACAUGGUACCAUAUUACGGCAUCGUAUUUAUGGUUAAAGGUUACGGUAGGGGAUGAGUAUGCGUCCCAUUAGUUAGUUGGCGAGGUAACGGCUCACCAAGACCGCGAUGGGUAGGGGCCCUGAGAGGGGGAUCCCCCACACUGGUACUGAGACACGGACCAGACUCCUACGGGAGGCAGCAGUGAGGAAUAUUGGACAAUGGGCGGGAGCCUGAUCCAGCCAUGCCGCGUGCAGGAAGAAUGCCCUAUGGGUAGUAAACUGCUUUUAUACGGGAAGAAAAAGGGCUACGUGUAGCCCACUGACGGUACCGUAAGAAUAAGGACCGGCUAACUCCGUGCCAGCAGCCGCGGUAAUACGGAGGGUCCGAGCGUUAUCCGGAAUUAUUGGGUUUAAAGGGUCCGUAGGCGGGCCGAUAAGUCAGGGGUGAAAGUCUGCCGCUCAACGGUAGAAUUGCCUUUGAUACUGUCGGUCUUGAGUUAUGGUGAAGUUGGCGGAAUAUGUAGUGUAGCGGUGAAAUGCAUAGAUAUUACAUAGAACACCGAUUGCGAAGGCAGCUGACUAACCAUCGACUGACGCUGAUGGACGAAAGCGUGGGGAGCGAACAGGAUUAGAUACCCUGGUAGUCCACGCCGUAAACGAUGGAUACUAGCUGUCCGGGUCCUUGAGACCUGGGCGGCCAAGCGAAAGUGAUAAGUAUCCCACCUGGGGAGUACGUUCGCAAGAAUGAAACUCAAG